rnacentral:rRNA from 1 species
AGGACACGCUGGCGGCGUGCCUAAACAUGCAAGUCGAGCGGAGUUAUGGAGUAGUUUACUACGAAGUAACUUAGCGGCGGACGGGUGAGUAACACGUGGGCAACCUGCCCUGUACAGGGGGAUAGCCAACCGAAAGGUUGAUUAAUACCGCAUAAACCAGGGGUAUCGCAUGAUACCUUUGGCAAAGGAGUAAUCCGGUGCAGGAGGGGCCCGCGGCCCAUUAGCUAGUUGGUGAGGUAACGGCCCACCAAGGCGACGAUGGGUAGCCGAUCUGAGAGGAUGACCGGCCACAUUGGAACUGAGACACGGUCCAGACUCCUACGGGAGGCAGCAGUGGGGAAUAUUGCGCAAUGGGGGGAACCCUGACGCAGCAACGCCGCGUGGAGGAAGAAGGUCUUCGGAUUGUAAACUCCUGUCUUCUGGGACGAAUAAUGACGGUACCAGAGGAGGAAGCCACGGCUAACUACGUG